CGGGGCGUAGCGCAGCUUGGUAGCGCGCCUGCUUUGGGAGCAGGAGGUCGGGAGUUCAAGUCUCCCCGCCCCGA
rnacentral:tRNA from 1 species